AGAACAGUGGACACACAGUUUACCAUGAUGGACUAUAGGACAGGACUGCUGCUCUUAACUAUCUGCUGGGCAGGUGUUGAUGGUCAGACUCUGACAGAAUCUGAACCAGUGAUUAAAAGGCCUGGAGAAUCACACAGGUUGACUUGUACAACAUCUGGAUUCACAUUCAGCAGCUACAGCAUGCACUGGGUCAGACAGGCUCCUGGAAAAGGACUGGAGUGGAUCGCUUAUAUCAGAUAUGAUAGUGCUGGGAUCUACUACUCCCAAUCUGUCAAGGGACGGUUUACCAUCUCCAGAGACAACAACAGACAGCAGGUGUAUCUGCAGAUGAACAGUGUGAAGACGGAAGAUUCUGCUGUGUAUUAUUGUGCUAGAGACUCACAGUGA